rnacentral:ncRNA from 1 species
GAAAGCCGGAUGCUGGGAAACUUGCUUGUCCGGUUUGGACGGGGGCUGAUUGUAAAUAAAACAGCAAAGACAAAUCGCUGAAUAAAAACGCAAUUAAUCUAUCCGUAU